rnacentral:rRNA from 1 species
AGAAUCAACGCUGGCGGCGUGCCUAACACAUGCAAGUCGAACGAGAAAGUGGGAGCAAUCCCACGAGUAAAGUGGCGCACAGGUGAGUAACACGUGACUAACCUACCCUUGAGUGGGGGAUAACCUAGGGAAACCUGGGCUAAUACCGCAUAAUACCUACGGGUCAAAGGAGCAAUUCGCUUAAGGAGGGGGUCGCGGCAGAUUAGUUAGUUGGCGGGGUAAUGGCCCACCAAGACAGUGAUCUGUA